rnacentral:lncRNA from 1 species
GUCAGGACCAGGGUCCCGACCUCUCCAGGGCCGCGGGCUCCAGCUUCCCGGACCAGCUUUCUUUUGGGGGGAGCGGCGCAGCCCAAGUGCGGGCCCCGGGUUGCCCCACACCCCUCCCCGAGGCACCGAUCCCUCCUGUCCCUCUCCCACACCCCUCCCGCGUCCCAGCUCUUGGUUUCGUCUGGGCCUCGGGAUCCUCCGGGUCCCACCGCGCGCCGCUCCGGGCAAACCUCCGGGCUCCGGCACGUUGAGCCUCGGAGCGGUUUCUGCCCCCGCCGUGGUGUGGGGACCUAGGAGCUGCCCCUCCGCCCCUUGCCUCGGCUGUAGAAGCAGCUGCGGGGUCCGCCCUGCCCCCUCCCCGGCGCGGAGAGCGGCUGCCAGGAACUGGAAUAUUAAUAGGACUCCCUGGCCCAGCAGCAGUUGUGAUCAAAGCCACCCG